rnacentral:tRNA from 1 species
ACCGGUAGCUCAGCUGGAUAGAGCAACAGCCUUCUAAGCUGUGGGUCGAGGGUUCGAAUCCCUCCCGGU